rnacentral:rRNA from 1 species
GCGAUUGGAUGAACCUAGGUGGGAUUAGCUAGUUGGUGAGGUAAUGGCUCACCAAGGCGACGAUCCCUAGCUGUCCUGAGAGGAUGAUCAGCCACACUGGGACUGAGACACGGCCCAGACUCCUACGGGAGGCAGCAGUGGGGAAUAUUGCACAAUGGGGGAAACCCUGAUGCAGCCAUGCCGCGUGUGUGAAGAAGGCCUUCGGGUUGUAAAGCACUUUCAGUAGGGAGGAAAGGGUGUAGUUUAAUACGCUAUAUCUGUGACGUUACCUACAGAAGAAGGACCGGCUAACUCCGUGCCAGCAGCCGCGGUAAUACGGAGGGUCCGAGCGUUAAUCGGAAUUACUGGGCGUAAAGCGUGCGCAGGCGGUUUGUUAAGCGAGAUGUGAAAGCCCUGGGCUCAACCUAGGAAUAGCAUUUCGAACUGGCGAACUAGAGUCUUGUAGAGGGGGGUAGAAUUCCAGGUGUAGCGGUGAAAUGCGUAGAGAUCUGGAGGAAUACCGGUGGCGAAGGCGGCCCCCUGGACAAAGACUGACGCUCAUGCACGAAAGCGUGGGGUGCAAACAGGAUUAGAUACCCUGGUAGUCCACGCCGUAAACGAUGUCUACUCGGAAUUUGGUGCCUU